CUACGGGCGGCACCAGUUAGGAAUAAUCUACAAUGCACGCAAGUGUGAUAGUUUGAGCCAGAGUGCUUUACAAUGUAAAGCUUUUGUGAAAUGUAAAAAGUUUCACGAAUAAGGACUGGGUAAGACGAGUGCCAGCCGCCGCGGUAAUACUCGCGGUCCAAGUCGCAGCCAUUUUUAUUGGGUCUAAAACAUCCGUAGCUUGCUUGGUAAGUUUCUUGUGAAAUUCUAUGUCUUAAAUGUAGAGCGGGCAAGAAGUACUGUCAAGCUAGAGACUGGAAGACGUAACGAGUACGUUCGGAGUAGCGGUAAAAUGUGUUAAUCCUGGACGGACUAACGAGAGCGAAGGCACGUUACGAGGACAGUUCUGACAGUAAGGGAUGAAGGCUAGGGGCGCAAAACGGAUUAGAUACCCCCGUAGUC
rnacentral:rRNA from 1 species